GGGCAACCCUGGCGGCGAGCGGCGAACGGGUGAGUAAUGUAUCGGAACGUACCCAGUCGUGGGGGAUAACUAUCCGAAAGGAUAGCUAAUACCGCAUACGACCUGAGGGUGAAAGCGGGGGACCGAAAGGCCUCGCGCGAUUGGAGCGGCCGAUAUCGGAUUAGCUAGUUGGUGAGGUAAAGGCUCACCAAGGCGACGAUCCGUAGCUGGUCUGAGAGGACGACCAGCCACACUGGAACUGAGACACGGUCCAGACUCCUACGGGAGGCAGCAGUGGGGAAUUUUGGACAAUGGGGGCAACCCUGAUCCAGCCAUUCCGCGUGAGUGAAGAAGGCCUUCGGGUUGUAAAGCUCUUUCAGCAGGAACGAAACGGUGGUCCUUAAUACGGGCUACUAAUGACGGUACCUGAAGAAGAAGCACCGGCUAACUACGUGCCAGCAGCCGCGGUAAUACGUAGGGUGCGAGCGUUAAUCGGAAUUACUGGGCGUAAAGCGUGCGCAGGCGGUUAUAUAAGACAGAUGUGAAAUCCCCGGGCUUAACCUGGGAACUGCGUUUGUGACUGUAUAACUUGAGUGUGGCAGAGGGGGGUGGAAUUCCACGUGUAGCAGUGAAAUGCGUAGAGAUGUGGAGGAACACCGAUGGCGAAGGCAGCCCCCUGGGUCAACACUGACGCUCAUGCACGAAAGCGUGGGGAGCAAACAGGAUUAGAUACCCUGGUAAUCCACGCCCUAAACGAUGCGAACUAGGUGUUGGGGAAGGAGACUUUCUUAGUACCGCAGCUAACGCGUGAAGUUCGCCGCCUGGGGAGUACGGUCGCAAG
rnacentral:rRNA from 1 species